UCUCCGUAGGUGAACCUGCGGAGGGAUCAUUACCGAGCUCAUGCACUUACGGGUAGAUCUCCCACCCUGUGUUAUUAUUACCUUUGUUGCUUUGGCGGGCCGCCAGGCUCCGGUCAGGCUAUCGGCUUCGGCUGGUAAGCGCCCGCCAGAGGACCCUAUAUCCUGAUUAUUAGUAUCGUCUGAGUACUAUAUAAUAGUUAAAACUUUCAACAACGGAUCUCUUGGUUCUG
rnacentral:misc_RNA from 1 species